rnacentral:rRNA from 1 species
CCUACGGGAGGCAGCAGUGAGGAAUAUUGGUCAAUGGGCGCGAGCCUGAACCAGCCAAGUAGCGUGAAGGAUGACUGCCCUACGGGUUGUAAACUGCAGUUAUAAAGGAAUAAAGUGAGGCACGUGUGCCUUUUUGGAUGUACUGUAUGAAUAAGGAUCGGCUAACUCCGUGCCAGCAGCCGCGGUAAUACGGAGGAUCCGAUCGUUAUCCGGAUUUAUUGGGGUUAAAGGGAGCGUAGAUGGGUUGUUAAGUCAGUUGUGAAAGUUUGCGGCGCAACCGUAAAAUUUCAAUUGAUACUGGCAGCCUUGAUUACAGUUGCGGUAGGCGGAAUUCGUGGUGUAGCGG